AUGCUGGGAGGUGGUCCGGUUGACGGAAGGGUAAGACUGGAGAAGACGGAUAGGCUGGCCGGUGAGAGAGGAAGGGCAGUGGGUCGGCCGAGAGGGAGUAUGUACGAAGGUUGUGUCGUGAAGAUGGUGAGGAAAUUGAAGAAGGAGCAAUUUAAUUGGGCUCUGUUUGGAUGUCCCCUGAUAUUGCAUUGUUCUCAAAUGUCAAAAAAUAGUUUUUCCAAACAAGUCUUUAACCUAUUCACGUUUCUCUUUCUCCU